rnacentral:rRNA from 1 species
CCCCUAGAUGUUCUGGGCCGCACGCGCGCUACACUGAACAGUUCAACAAGUCUUAACCUUGGCCGAUAGGUCUGGGUAAUCUUUGAACGCUGUUCGUGAUUGGGAUAGACCUUUGCAAUUAUGGGUCUUCAACGAGGAAUUCCUAGUAAACGCAAGUCACCAGCUUGCAUUGAUUACGUCCCUGCCCUUUGUACACACCGCCCGUCGCACCUACCGAUUGAAUGGUCCGGUGAAAUCUCGGGACGGCGGCUUGGUCGCUUGCGUCCGACUGCUGAAACUUGAUUAAACCAUAUCAUUUAGAGGAAGGUGAANUCGUAACA